rnacentral:rRNA from 1 species
AUUGAACGCUGGCGGCAGGCCUAACACAUGCAAGUCGAACGAGUGGCGGACGGGUGAGUAAUGUCUGGGAAACUGCCUGCUGGAGGGGGAUAACUACUGGAAACGGUAGCUAAUACCGCAUACCAUCAGAUGUGCCCAGAUGGGAUUAGCUUGUUGGUGGGGUAACGGUUCACCAAGGCGAAGAUCCCUAGCUGGUCUGAGAGGAUGACCAGCCACCCUGGAACUGAGCCACGGUCCAGCCUCCUGCGGGAGGCAGCGGUGGGGAAUAUUGCACAAUGGGCGCAAGCCUGAUGCAGCCAUGCCGCGUGUAUUAAGGAGACCUUCGGGUUGUAAGGUACUUUCAGCGGGUAGGCGUUACCCGCAGAAGAAGCACCGGCUAACUCCGUGCCAGCAGCCGCGGUAAUUC